UACAGAGGGGGCGAGCGUUGUUCGGAAUUACUGGGCGUAAAGGGCGCGUAGGCGGCCCCCUAAGUCGGACGUGAAAUCCCCGGGCUCAACCCGGGAACUGCGUCCGAUACUGGGGGGCUUGAAUCCGGGAGAGGGAUGUGGAAUUCCAGGUGUAGCGGUGAAAUGCGUAGAUAUCUGGAGGAACACCGGUGGCGAAGGCGGCAUCCUGGACCGGUAUUGACGCUGAAGCGCGAAAGCCAGGGGAGCAAACGGG
rnacentral:rRNA from 1 species